AUUGAACGCUGGCGGCAGGCGUAACACAUGCAAGUCGAACGAGUGGCGGACAGGUGAGUAAUGCUUGGAAAUCUACCUUAUGUGGGGGGAUAACUACGGGAAACGGUAGCUAAUACCGCAUACCAUCGGAUGUGCCCAGAUGGGAUUAGCUAGUAGGUGGGGCAAAGGUUCACCUAGGCGACGAUCCCUAGCUGGUCUGAGAGGAUGACCAGCCACACUGGAACUGAGACACGGUCCAGACUCCUACGGGAGGCAGCAGUGGGGAAUAGUGCACAAUGGGCACAAGCCUGAUUCAGCCAGGCCGCGUGUAUGAAGAAGGCCUUCGGGUUGUAAAGUACUUUCAGUCGGGAGGCGUUACCGACAGAAGAAGCACCGGCUAACUCCGUGCCAGCAGCCGCGGUAAUAC
rnacentral:rRNA from 1 species